AUUGAACGCUGGCGGCAUGCCUUACACAUGCAAGUCGAACGGCAGCACGGGAGCAAUCCUGGUGGCGAGUGGCGAACGGGUGAGUAAUAUAUCGGAACGUGCCCAGUCGUGGGGAUAACGUAGCGAAAGCUACGCUAAUACCGCAUACGAUCUAUGGAUGAAAGCGGGGGAUCGCAAGACCUCGCGCGAUUGGAGCGGCCGAUAUCAGAUUAGGUAGUUGGUGAGGUAAAGGCUCACCAAGCCGACGAUCUGUAGCUGGUCUGAGAGGACGACCAGCCACACUGGGACUGAGACACGGCCCAGACUCCUACGGGAGGCAGCAGUGGGGAAUUUUGGACAAUGGGCGCAAGCCUGAUCCAGCAAUGCCGCGUGCAGGAUGAAGGCCUUCGGUUGUAACUAG
rnacentral:rRNA from 1 species